rnacentral:rRNA from 1 species
UUCGUAGGCGGUUAUUUAAGUCAGGUGUGAAAGGCAUAGGCUCAACCUGUGUAAGCACUUGAAACUGAAUGACUUGAGUUAAGGAGAGGAAAGUGGAAUUCCUAGUGUAGCGGUGAAAUGCGUAGAUAUUAGGAGGAAUACCAGUGGCGAAGGCGACUUUCUGGACUUAUACUGACGCUGAGGAACGAAAGCGUGGGGAGCAAACAG